GACGAGCCACACAAACGUUAUUCGGAAUUACUGGGCUUAAAGGGUGCGUAGGCUGCGCGGAAAGUUGGGUGUGAAAUCCCUCGGCUCAACCGAGGAACUGCGCCCAAAACUACCGUGCUCGAGGAAGAUAGAGGUAAGCGGAACUUACGGUGGAGCGGUGAAAUGCGUUGAUAUCGUAAGGAACACCUGUGGCGAAAGCGGCUUACUGGGUCUUUUCUGACGCUGAUGCACGAAAGCUAGGGGAGCAAACGGGAGUUA
rnacentral:rRNA from 1 species